AAUCACUCUUAGAAAUAUUAACAAAAAACAAGCUUUAUCUUAUUUGGUGCACAAAUCACGGGGUGCAAUUCUUACUGCGCAAGAGUAUCUUACUUAUUCGUGAUUGAUGGAAGCCCCAACUUUCUUAGCCGGGUUAACCAAAUCAGCCAACUCUAAUUCGAAGGAAGAGGAAGUCCGCAAAAAAUAGAUUGAUAUACUGUUAUUGCCGAGAAAAAUUGUAGCUGGAUCAAAUGCAAUCUUCUCCAUGACAUAUCUACGGUGGCUGCAACUCCCAUUUUAGGAAUGACAGAAACCUGGCUUCACAAAGGAGUAAAUGAUGCUGAACUGUUGCUGAGUUUCCCUGGUUAUUCUCUCCAUCGAUGUGAUAGAACCUCACUGAACAAUAAUCCAAACCCAAGAGGUGGGACCCUGCUUCUAACACCCCCAUCUCUCCCAUCAAAAGUCAUUAUGGCAAAGUCAACAGGAGUCUGUGAAGUAGUGAUGGCCAAGGCAAUCCCUCUAGGUAUGAUCAUGACAGUGCUUCAUCGGCCUCCAUCUGCAUCAGCAGUGGACAUUUCAAAAGUGAUCGACAUUGUUCAAAACGAACUAGAUUCCCUCAGUGACCAGUCAUAUGAUUUAAUUGUGAUGGGUGACUUCAACUUCCCACCGCGUUCUCUGGAAUGAGUAUGUGAGUCGGAUAUAAUGUGCCCCAAAAUCAACACUUGAAUCACAGAAGAAAAAGCCUUCUAAAUUUUGCGAGCAAUAACUUUCUCUGCCAAAUGGUGAGAGAACCAACACGCAACAACAACACCCUUGAUCUUAUUUGGACCAACAACCCUGAUACAAUCCUGAAGACUGAAGUCAUGGAAAUGUGUGGCAUAUCAGACCACAAACUUGUGACAGCAAAAACAGCGUACACAACAGAUCAAAUAAAGUACAAGAAACAGAUCAAAGAAAUGACAAGAAACAGAUCAAAGAAAUGACAAGAAACAGAUCAAAGAAAGGAAAAGAAACAGAUCAAAUACAUAGCAAAAAUUGGAAGGUAUGACUUUGAAAAAGGGAAUCAAAAAAAUUUAAAGCAAUGAUUUGUAACCUGUGAUUGUGAUCAACUGUUAUCAUCUUCAAGCACUGCACAUGAGAAGAGGACUAAAUUUAUUGACACUAUCACAGAAAUAGCAGAGCAAGCUAGUCUACCCUUCAAGAAGGUGGGUAACACAGGCAACAUCCCAAUCCCAAGAGAUAGAAAGAGACUUUUCAAGAAACGGUGUGCCUUGUUUUCAAAGCUCCGAAUAAAAAAACAUCUUGACAGGGAAAAUAUAUGCAAAAAGAUUGCACUAAUCAACUCUGAGCUAGAGUCUUCCUAUAAAACAGAGAAAGUAAUUCAGGAAGCAAGGGUGGCAUCUCAGGUGAAGUCAAAUCCAAAAGCAUUGUACAAAUAUGCCAACAAAUACAGAAAGGCAAAAUGACAUAUUGGCCCGCUGCGGUCAACAUACCAUCUUGAGGAUAGCCCAAGGAAGAUGGCAGAAAUCCUGAGCAAGCAGUAUUCAGCUGUGUUUACUGAACCCAAUUCAACUGAUGACAUCCCCAAACUCAGUGAGUUUUUCAACUGUAACACUGGAUUGAAGGAUAUACCUUUCACAGUUUAAGAUAUUGAGACUGCUAUGAAAGCAAUUUCCUCCUCAUCUGCCCCAGGCCCGGAUAAGUUCCCAGCUUUCCUUCUCAAUCAAUUCUCCUAUGAACUGAAGAGAUUCCCUGGACAGUGGAGACAUGCCAGAGGGCAUCAAUGUGACAAGACUCAUGCAAAAAACUAUAGGCCAGUGGAACUGACAAGCCACCUAACAAAAGCGUUUGAAAAGGUUGUGAAAGGUGCCCUUGUUGCACAUCUUUCCAGCGACAAUCUGUUCAACAAAGGUCAACAUGGAUUCAGAAAAGGUCACUCAACAUUGACUCAGCUAGUACAAUAUUACUAAGAAAUUCUUUGCAUGCUUGAGACUAAUGAUGGUGUUGACUCUAUUUUCCUGGAUUUUGCCAAAGCCUUGUGACCACAACACAAUAUUAAGGAAGAUGAAGCGCCUUGUCAUGAAUGGGAAAGUUGGUGUGUGGAUUGGAAAUGUUCUCAAAAAAAACGUCAGCAGGCCGUUGUGAUCGAUGGAGAACAAUCUUCAACAGUUUGGCCCGUCUCAGGAGUCCCACAAGGCUCAGUGCUUGGGCCAAUCCUGCUCCUAAUCCUAAUGGGGGACAUUGACUAAGGUGUCCAGAACUCAAGUUUGGCCUCCUUUUGCAGAUGACACAAGAGUUUUGGAAAGGGGUUAGCAGUGAAAAGGAUAACAACGAGCUUCAACAAUACCUGGAGAAAGUGUAUGUCUGGUCAGAAAACAACAAAAUGGUCUUCAACUCUGCCAAGUUUGAGUGGGUUCACUUUGGCAGAACAAGGUUAAAGGGGCAUGUCUAUUCAUCUUCUAAUCAAUCAAUAAUCCAAAGCACUGAACAUGUCCGUGAUUUGGGAGUGACUCUUAGAUCAUACUGUACUUUCAAAAUGCAUAUUGAGAAGACUGUACUCUCUUGCAACCAAAUGUCUGGGUGGAUCCUUAGAACAUUCACCAUUCGACAAGAACAUUAUGAUCCCCCUGUAAAAGCAACUGGUAAUGAGUAGAGCCGAAUAUUGCUGCGUUCUGUGGUCAACUGUUGAGUCAGCCGCCAUAUGAAGACUUGAGGGGAUCUAGAGGUCAUUUACAAGAAAACUAGACACCUUUCGAGGCAUGAAUCGCCCAAACUACUGGGAGCGAUUGAAGAUGCUGAACUUGUACUGCCUGGAGAGGAGACGAGAACGAUACAUGGUAAAAUAUGCUUGGAAAGUGCUUCAAGAAAUGGUGCCUAAUCCAGGGUUUGUCUCCAGGGACAAUCCAAGAACAGGAAUUCAUAUGGAACUUCCAAAAAAUGACCAAUCAACCCCAGGCUGGGUGAAACGAUUGAGAGGAAGCAGCUUCCUAUACCGUGGAUCCCAGUUGUUCAACUGCCUGCCCACCUACCUCAGGCAACCUAACCUCAACCAAUCUCCUGCGUCUUACAAGAGAGAGCUUGACAACUUCCUGAAAACAGUCCCGGACGAAACCAACGUCUGGAAAGCACCUCACCAAUUGUCGGAACCUCAAUAAUGACGUCAUAUUACAUCGCAGUAACCGCAAGAACCGCAAGGACAAACGACUUCAACACUGCCUUAUCCAAUGCCUCCAGUUUCUAUGAAGACAAGCAUUUUCAAUUGAGCUCACCUAUUGUCAUAGUUUCGACUGAAGUCGUCGUAUUCUUCUCUCCGAAUCCGCUCUAAACGAACUUCAUAACUCUCAGUCAAAGUCCAAUAGUAUGUGCAGAAUAACAAGUGUAGAAUAUGCCUC